rnacentral:rRNA from 1 species
AUGCCUCCUGACCGAGACAUUGAGUUCAUCAUCGAGCUCAUACCCGGAGCAGGACCCAUCUAUAAGAAGCCUUAUAGGAUGGGAUCGGAGGAGUUAGCAGAAUUGAAGAAGCAGUUGGAAGAGCAGUUGAGGAAGGGAUUUAUCCGCCCUAGUGCCUCCCCUUGGGGAUCACCUGUUCUGUUUGUGGCAAAGAAGGACGGUACCAUCCGCUUAUGCAUUGACUACCGCUCCCUCAACGAGGUUACAAUCAAGAACAAGUACCCACUUCCCAAGAUUGAAGAUCUGUUUGAUCAACUCAAUGGGGCCAAGGUGUUCUCCAAGAUCGACCUCAGAUCUGGGUACUACCAACUGAAGAUCAGACCCCAAGAUAUUCCGAAGACGGCAUUCGUAACCAGAUAUGGCCUGUAUGAAUGCACGGUCAUGUCCUUUGGGUUGACCAAUGCCCCAGCUUACUUCAUGUAUCUCAUGAAUAAGGUCUUCAUGGAAUAUUUGGACAAGUUCGUCAUCGUCUUCAUUGAUGACAUUCUUGUCUUCUCGAAGUCGGAAGAAGAGCACGAGCAACACUUGAGGAUGGUCCUAGACAAGCUUCGAGAGCACCAACUGUAUGCCAAGUUCAGCAAGUGUGAAUUCUGGCUGCGUGAAGUUGGAUUUCUGGGACAUGUUCUAACAGAAGAGGGAUUGUCAGUCGACCCUGCCAAGAUAGAAGCCGUGACUGGAUGGCAAUCCCCGAGCAAUGUGAAGGAAGUCAGAAGCUUCCUCGGACUCGCGGGAUAUUACCGCAAGUUCGUUGAAGGAUUCUCAAGCAUUGCCCGACCCAUGACUCAGCUCUUGAAGAAGGACAAGAAGUUCGAAUGGACGCCGAAGUGCGAAGAAAGCUUCCAGGAGCUGAAGAAGAGGCUAACCACCGCUCCAGUUCUGGCCACACCAGAUAUACACAAGGAGUUUGUGAUAUAUUGUGAUGCGUCAAGAAUCGGACUGGGGGGUGUUCUGAUGCAAGAAGGCAGAGUCGUGGCCUACCUUUCAAGGCAGCUA